rnacentral:rRNA from 1 species
GAUUGAAGCGCUGAGCGGCAUGCCUAACACAUGCAAGUCGGGCGGCAGCGGGUAUUGUAGCGAUAUGAUAUGCCGGCGAGCGGCGGACGGGUGAGUAAAGCAUAGGAAUCUGCCUUAUAGAGGAGGAUAACUUGGGGAAACCCGAGCUAAUACUGCGUAAGUUCUACGGAAGAAAGGCUGGGACCGAAAGGCCAGUCGCUAUAAGAUGAGUCUAUGUCGGAUUAGUUAGUUGGUGAGGUAAAGGCUUACCAAGGCGAGGAUCCGUAGCUGGUCUGAGAGGAUGAUCAGCCACACUGGGACUGAGACACGGCCCAGACUCCUACGGGAGGCAGCAGUGGGGAAUAUUGGACAAUGGGGGAAACCCUGAUCCAGCGAUGCCGCGUGUGAGAAGAAGGCCUGCGGGUUGUAAAUCACUUUAGUUGGGGAAGAAGGUUGGGAGGUUAAGAGCUUUGCAACCAGACGUUACCCAAAGAAUAAGCACCGGCUAACUCUGUGCCAGCAGCCGCGGUAAUACAGAGGGUGCAAGCGUUAAUCGGAAUUACUGGGCGUAAAGGGCGCGUAGGCGGAUGUACAAGUUAGAUGUGAAAUCCCCGAGCUUAACUUGGGAACUGCAUUUAAGACUGUGGAUCUAGAGUAGAAGAGAGGUAAGUGGAAUUUCCGGUGUAGCGGUGGAAUGCGUAGAUAUCGGAAAGAACACCAGUGGCGAAGGCGACUUACUGGAUUCAUACUGACGCUGAGGCGCGAAAGCAUGGGGAGCAAACAGGAUUAGAUACCCUGGUAGUCCAUGCUGUAAACGAUGAUAACUAGAUGUUGGGAGGUUAAACCUGUCAGUAUCGAAGCAAACGCGAUAAGUUAUCCGCCUGGGGAGUACGACCGCAAGGUUAAAACUCAAAGGAAUUGACGGGGACCCGCACAAGCGGUGGAGCAUGUGGUUUAAUUCGAUGCAACGCGAAGAACCUUACCUACCCUUGACAUCCUUCGAAUCUUGCUGAGAGGCGAGAGUGCCGAAAGGAGCGAAGAGACAGGUGCUGCAUGGCUGUCGUCAGCUCGUGUCGUGAGAUGUUGGGUUAAGUCCCGUAACGAGCGCAACCCUUGUCCUUAGUUGCCAUCAUUAAGUUGGGAACUCUAAGGAGACUGCCGGUGAUAAACCGGAGGAAGGUGGGGAUGAGGUCAAGUCAUCAUGGCCUUUAUGGGUAGGGCUACACACGUGCUACAAUGGUCGGUACAAAGGGAAGCGAAGCUGUGAGGCGGAGCGAAACUCAAAAAGCCGAUCUUAGUCCGGAUUGGAGUCUGCAACUCGACUCCAUGAAGCUGGAAUCGCUAGUAAUCGCGGAUCAGAACGCCGCGGUAAUACGUUCUCGGGU